UGGGGAAUAUUGCACAAUGGGCGCAAGCCUGAUGCAGCCAUGCCGCGUGUAUGAAGAAGGCCUUCGGGUUGUAAAGUACUUUCAGCGGGGAGGAAGGUGUUGAGGCUAAUAACCUCAGCAAUUGACGUUACCCGCAGAAGAAGCACCGGCUAACUCCGUGCCAGCAGCUGCGGUAAUACGGAGGGUGCAAGCGUUAAUCGGAAUUACUGGGCGUAAAGCGCACGCAGGCGGUCUGUCAAGUCGGAUGUGAAAUCCCCGGGCUCAACCUGGGAACUGCAUUCGAAACUGGCAGGCUAGAGUCUUGUAGAGGGGGGUAGAAUUCCAGGUGUAGCGGUGAAAUGCGUAGAGAUCUGGAGGAAUACCGGUGGCGAAGGCGGCCCCCUGGACAAAGACUGACGCUCAGGUGCGAAAGCGUGGGGAGCAAACA
rnacentral:rRNA from 1 species